GGGCCCGUAGCUCAGCCUGGUAGAGCGGCGGGCUCUUAACCCGUAGGUCCCGGGUUCAAAUCCCGGCGGGCCCGCCA
rnacentral:tRNA from 4 species